GGUACAGGCCAGAGGCGUGGGGCUGUGAGAGGAUUCACCAGAGACGGAGCAGGGAGCAGAACAGAUAUUGUAUUUUAUGGUGAGGAAAUUGUUCUGGAUCCUGAUUGAAAUGGUGUUCACAUGACAUCAAGUAUUUCUCUAAACUUACAGGAUAAUGCACUAUAAAAUUGAAUAUUACUGCAAUCUCAAUUUAAAAAUAAGAAUGAAGACAAUGGACUGAGCUUUAAUUAUCAAUCAGACAAUUAACUUCCAAGAAGAAAGAUCAACAUCUAUUAAGAAAAGCACUCUACUGCACUCUCAUCUCAACCACCUUUCCCAAAAUAUCAUUUAUCUUUAUCAUGCAAGAACAUGAGACUACAAUGAACAGUGAAUUUGUCUCUAAAUUAUAAUCACUGACAGUUUAUGUAAAUCUGGUUUUAGGAAAAUCUCCAUAAUAAA